rnacentral:rRNA from 1 species
AAGGUAGUGUAGUUAAUAGCUGCAUUUAUUUGACGUUAGCGACAGAAGAAGCACCGGCUAACUCCGUGCCAGCAGCCGCGGUAAUACGGGAGGGUGCGAGCGUUAAUCGGAAUUACUGGGCGUAAAGCGCAUGCAGGUGGUUUGUUAAGUCAGAUGUGAAAGCCCGGGGCUCAACCUCGGAAUAGCAUUUGAAACUGGCAGACUAGAGUACUGUAGAGGGGGGUAGGAAUUUCAGGUGUAGCGGUGAAAUGCGUAGAGAUCUGAAGGAAUACCGGUGGCGAAGGCGGCCCCCUGGACAGAUACUGACACUCAGAUGCGAAAGCGUGGGGAGCAAACAGGAUUAGAUACCCUGGUAG